rnacentral:rRNA from 1 species
CCUACGGGUGGCAGCAGUGAGGAAUAUUGGUCAAUGGGCGCGAGCCUGAACCAGCCAAGUCGCGUGAGGGAAGACGGUCCUAUGGAUUGUAAACCUCUUUUGUCGGGGAGCAAAAGACGCCACGCGUGGCGUUCCGAGAGUACUUGAAGAAAAAGCAUCGGCUAACUCCGUGCCAGCAGCCGCGGUAAUACGGAGGAUGCGAGCGUUAUCCGGAUUUAUUGGGUUUAAAGGGUGCGUAGGGGGAAGUUAAAGUCAGCGUUAAAAUUGAGAGGCUCAACCUCAUAGAGCCGUUGAAACUGGUAUUCUUGAGUGAGCGAGAGGUAUGCGGAAUGCGUGGUGUAGCGGUGAAAUGCAUAGAUAUCACGAAGAACUCCGAUUGCGAAGGCAGCAUACCGACGCUCAACUGACACUCAUGCACGAAAGUGUGGGUAUCGAACAGGAUUAGAUACCCGGGUAGUC